GUGGGGAAUAUUGGGCAAUGGGGGAAACCCUGACCCAGCAACGCCGCGUGAAGGAAGAAGGUUUUCGGAUCGUAAACUUCUAUCCUUGGUGAAGAUAAUGACGGUAGCCAAGAAGGAAGCCCCGGCUAACUACGUGCCAGCAGCCGCGGUAAUACGUAGGGGGCAAGCGUUGUCCGGAAUGAUUGGGCGUAAAGGGCGCGUAGGCGGCCUGGUAAGUCUGGAGUGAAAGUCCUGCUUUUAAGGUGGGAAUUGAUUUGGAUACUGUCGGGCUUGAGUGCAGGAGAGGUAAGCGGAAUUCCCGGUGUAGCGGUGAAAUGCGUAGAGAUCGGGAGGAACACCAGUGGCGAAGGCGGCUUACUGGACUGUAACUGACGCUGAGGCGCGAAAGUGUGGGGAGCAAACAGGAUUAGAAACCCGGGUAGUCC
rnacentral:rRNA from 1 species